rnacentral:rRNA from 1 species
UACGUAGGGUGCAAGCGUUGUCCGGAAUUAUUGGGCGUAAAGAGCUCGUAGGCGGUUUGUUGCGUCGGCUGUGAAAUCCCGAGGCUCAACCUCGGGUCUGCAGUCGAUACGAGCAAACUAGAGUGUUGCAGGGGAGACUGGAAUUCCUGGUGUAGCGGUGAAAUGCGCAGAUAUCAGGAGGAACACCGGUGGCGAAGGCAGCUCGCUGUGACGGUACUGACGCUGAGACGCGAAAGCGUGGGGAGCAAACAGG